rnacentral:lncRNA from 1 species
UGCGUCGUUUCACAUAUUAGGACUUCUCCCUUUCCCUCGAUCUACAAACUCUGGUGUCGUCAAUUAGUGUUUUUUCUCAUCGGAGUAAAAAACUUGGAGAUACCACAGCAGGAUUCUGCAGCCGAUGAUGAGGGCAUGGAUCUGACGGUGAGUUCCUUUUUUCCUUUCUCUUUUCCUCUUUCGGUGUUUUUGGAGCGUAGGAAAAAUUGUUGUAGAUCUAUUCGGUGACAUAUCUUAGUCUAAGAAUGAUAAAAUAAGGGAUUAUUUUUGGGUGAUAUUUUCCAAUUCUAAAAGUUGAAUAUUUUCUUUGAAAUUAAUUUAAUUCUGGUAUUGCUUUCUUAGUAAUACUAUAAAAAUCAUUACCCAUACAAGUUCCAAGUGACUUUGUUCGUCCCUGAAUAUGUGAACAAAUACGGAGUUGUAGGGACACCGCAAUAUGUUUGGGAUCAAGAGGAGGUGUUGGCCGGUACGUUUGCAACAUUUUUCAUUUUUUUUUUUGAUUAAAAAACUUCCGACAUCUCAUUGUUAAUUGUGUUUUGUGUAGGAAGGAUAAUAAACAAACGUGCGGCUUCUGCAAUGCUGUUUUGCAAUGAUUUAGAGAAUGAAGGUGCCAUCGUUCAAGUUAAGGCACAUGUGAGGUGGUUAUAGUACACACUAAUCUUUUUUGUUAUGUUAUUUUCAUGAGUCUAAAUUUUAUGCCAAAAGGCUUAGCUCAACGCUGUUCUAAUGCCUUGAAACAAGAAUGACAAAAAUGGACCUACUCCCAAAGAUAAGGGACAAUCUUAGCUAAAAACUCUAGAGCAAGGCCUGAAGCUCCCUGCACUUUUGCGCUAUUACUUUGGUAGUAUAAUUUUCUCAUAUUUGGAGAGUAUCUAUUCAUAAUGCAGCAAAAGUUUACAAGAUUAUGGUUGUGAUGAACGUAGUAUAACUCUUUGCCUCAUUCUAAAAAUAAAAAAUAAAAUAAUAACUCUAGUCCAUUUACACUGUCAAUCCUUAAAUCUUUCUCUGCCUAUUGUCCACCCUAUAGAAAGAGGAAUGUCAUUCAAAAAAAGGCUUUGAACUUUUUCUUGCUGAAAUUUCAGACUUUCCGUCAAAGAAAGAGGAUUGACAUUCAAGUUGUACUCCAAAUUAGUAUCACUUGCUUGAGAUUGUGUUUUCAUGAUAUAUGCUAUUCUUAGGUUUAGACGACCAGUAGCGCUAAUAUUAUUAUGUUGCAGAUUUAAAAUUUUGAUAAUCCAAAGCCAAAAAUGCUUUCCUUUAGCUUGUUCUAGUUGGAUAAAAAAUUAGGAGCCACUUUUUGAGUUAUACGAAUUUAUCUUCUCUUAUUUUCGAAUGUUGACGACACUAUGCUUCAUUGGUGAUGGGGAAGAGAUACAAUGUAAAACAAAAAACUAUGCUCUUUUUGUAUGGAAAUGAUACCGAAGAGUCGUGUUGGGCACUGUCCUAGGAAACUGUUUCAGCAAUGUGAAAUGUUUCCUCAGGAUUAAACAAGCUCAUCUCUAUUUAUUUAGAGGAUACAGGAAUCAGCAAAAUUAAAUAAUUAAUCCAACAGGUUCAAAAAAUUGGAAAGAAUUAAUAAUAAUAAUAAAAAAAAAAAAUUAUUAAUAAUAAUAAUAAAAAUCAAUAAUAAUAAUAAUAAUGCUAUUAUGGUUCAUGAAAUGUUGACUAUUGUUAAAUGUGAUUUAAAAUUUCAGGAUGAUUUAUACAAUCAAAAGUUUUUAAUAAAAACUGAUGUUCAAUCUGUUAAAUACAUGUUUAACAAAGAUUUUAUAAUUCUCUUCCUGAUUUCUUAUCCCGUGAAUACUUAAAUUAAUCAUGAAUUUCUAUAAAACCUUUCUAGAUGAAAAAACGUUAAUCACUAUUUUGAAAGUGGUUAAGUUAUAUAGAGACUUACAAAGUCUUAUAAUUGAUAAAAUUAUUGAUAACAUUGUCGAAGAAUAAUUUUCUAUUCAUGAUUAUUCUGAAGAAAUUAGAGAUGAUAUGCAAGACUAUUAUUUAUCUGAAUAAAAUGAAUUAUUAUAUUUGCAGCAUGGACCCUCCGUGGGCCAGAAGUAGAGGCAGAGGCAGAGGGGGAAGAUCAUCCCCAGGAAAAUCAUAUUCUCAAGGAUCGUCAUAUAGAUCCUCAUCUAACUCCCAGUGAUACAAAUCGAAAAAAAGAGUUUAAUUAAUAAGAAGAUAUCUCUCAAAGGAGAAUCUUCGUCAACUCCUAUUCAUUUGGAAGAUAUUCCAGAGGACAGUCCAUUAUAUGGUCAUCUACAGGCAUAUUUAGCUGCUCAAAAGUAAAGUGAUACAGUUUCUUCAAUUGUCAAAGAGGACACUGAUGAUAUAAAGUCCUAUGAAAAAUUGCUUUAAAAAAUAAUAUUUCUUUUAGAAAAUUCUGAGAUACAGAGAAAAGAUGAGCCAUGGAAAAUAUUCCAAAGGUAUUUAAUUAAUGGAUUAUAUUAUCUGGG